rnacentral:rRNA from 1 species
UACAGAGGGUGCGAGCGUUGUUCGGAAUUAUUGGGCGUAAAGGGCGCGUAGGCGGUGCGGUAAGUCACCUGUGAAAUCUCCUGGCUCAACUGGGAGCUUGCAGGCGAAACUGCCGUGCUGGAGUGUGGGAGAGGUGCGUGGAAUUCCCGGUGUAGCGGUGAAAUGCGCAGAUAUCAGGAGGAACACCGGUGGCGAAGGCGGAUCUCUGGGCCAUUACUGACGCUGAGGCACGAAAGCGUGGGGAGCAAACAGG